rnacentral:rRNA from 1 species
GGGUCAGUAGGUUGGUCGUGCCACCGGUACGUACUGGUCUCACUGAUUCCUCCUUCCUGAAUAACCUUAAUGCCAUUAAUUUGGUGUUGCGGGUAAACAGGACUGUUACUUUGAAAAAAUUAGAGUGUUUAAUGCAAGCUAACGCUUGAAUACAUUAGCAUGGAAUAAUGAAAUAGGACGAUCGAUCCUAUUUUGUUGGUUUCUAGGAUUGACGUA